rnacentral:lncRNA from 1 species
AGUGGUCUCUCCUCUUCCCAUACACACCUUACGGAUUCUUCACAGGGUGUGAUGAUGGGAAGCCUAGACACGCUUAUCAGAAGUUUGUCCUCUUAUCGGGAUACGUCAGAAAUUAGAGAGACCCUGGCAAUCACAGCUUCCACCUCCUCAUUUUACAAAUGAGCAACUAGGCUCAGAGUACAGAAGUGGCUUUCCCAGGGUCACACAGCCAGCUUGUGACAGAGUCAGGAUUCAAGUACCAUCUCCUGACUUCUCCAUUGCACCAGACGUCGAUAGAACACAGAGAACCUAAAAGAAGAAAGAAAAAAAAAUAGAGCUUUUGGGAAUAUAUUGGGCUUCUGGUUUUCAAGGACAAUUUUAUGAUAAGUAGCAAUGAUGCCUCAAAAGCUCUGGUAGCUAGCUUGAAUGAACUUAUGUAAUAAACAUUUAUCACAGAACAUGUGUCAUCAAACACCUGCCAGUUCUGAGCGUUGGCACCAAAGCUGCUUUCAUUGUCAAAGAAAAGAGGGGGAAAGGAACUUGGCUGAACAAAGCUGGCAGACGUUUAUACUAGAAAAUUUAGAGGUAAUUUCUAGAGGAACAGAAACACAUUUUCAAAGUCUUAUAAAAUUUAUUUAAAUGUGAUUGGGUGAAUUUAGCAGUUAAAGAAGUGAAGAACACUGAGGUCCAAUUGGUGCCUGAGGCUUCUUCCAGGACCCAGUCUUUUCUGUCUGCCUUGGGCACAGAUUUCUAGAUGCCUGAAGAUGGACAGGCCCAGAGGUUGCCCAGAGUGAUGUCUGAGAUUACUGAUCUCUAUCUAGGCUUCCAUAGAAACACAUCCCAAAACGUUCUUGGUUCUUAUUGGAAUCUCAUCUCAUUUGCAGAACAUGGCCAGAGUCAAAGAGACAUGGACCAUGUGUCACUCAGACUGAGUCCAUCCAUACAAAGAGAAUUCUCUAGCCUGUAUUGGAAGUCAAUCUACAUCAGCAUGACAGGGCAUGUAGCCGAAUACGUGGCCACUUCCCUUUGGCUACCCACACAUUUUUGAACUGCAAGAUCUGUUCUUUAUCUACUCAUCUAAUGGUUAUUACUGGGAGAGCACUGGACUAUAAAUUCUGUUGCACUUGCAGGUGUAAUGAGCUCUUUGAACCUCAGUUUCCUCACCCAUCAGAUACUAUUCAUUAUCUGCCUUGCGGACAACACCUAGUUGUUGGGAACAUUGCAUGAAUGGCAGGUGGAGGUGCUUUGUAAACGCUAAAGCCUGCCAUGAAUGUGAAGGAGUGUUGCUACUCUUCUGUGCCCAACAAUGUGCUAGCACCAAGGGAGUUCAAAAGAAAUGUGAGACAUGGUCCCUACCCUCCAGGAACUUACAACUCAUUGUUGGGAGACCAAGACACAUCCCCUAAAAACAGAUAUGUAACACCUCAAGUCUGUGAAGUACUUACUAUUUAAAUGAUGCCCAGAGCCUCUGAAUCCCCUAGAAGUACAGAGGAGGGGGAGAUCAUUAAUGGUGUGGAGAAGUUGGAGGAGGUGAGACGAUGCCAGGAUGUCAGGAGCAAGGGAGCACCAGUGGUAGAAGAACCUGCCUCCCCUGGCUCCAUCAAAGGCCACAGGCCCAUGAGAAUCACCCGGCCUGCUCUGAGCAGCACACUCGGAGGCCACAGCCACGCACAGGAAAGUGAGAGGAAGUGGAAACGUGCGAGCAGAGGGCUCAAAGCGACGGGCUCACCACCG